CUCAGGUCGGAAUCCUCCAAUACGUAGCUGCUGGUCUCCAUCAGGUUCAUUGGAAGUCUGCUGACUUUUAACUUGAAUAUCUCCCUCAUGUGGAAAGCUUUUGAACCAAUUCCACCUCUCCGUGAUUCCUUGAUGAGUUAAGUUUCUUGAAUAAGUUGAUUUGUAGACUAACUCCUCCUGGUUGGGCUGAUAUGAUUCACACAAUGAACGUAUGUCCUUCUCGGGUCUGAUUCGCAUAGUGCAUCCUAUUUGAAUGAGCUUUGGUUCAGUUUCUGGUGUGAUGACCGCAUC
rnacentral:lncRNA from 1 species